GACGAACGCUGGCGGCGUGCUUAACACAUGCAAGUCGAACGGAGUGGCGAACGGGUGAGUAACACGUGGGUGAUCUGCCUUGCACUUCGGGAUAAGCUUGGGAAACUGGGGCUAAUACCGGAUAGUGCAAGAUGAGCUCGCGGCCUAUCAGCUUGUUGGUGGGGUAAUGGCCUACCAAGGCGUCGACGGGUAGCCGGCCUGGGAGGGUGUACGGGCACCAUGGGACUGAGGGAGGGCCCAGACUGCAAUGGGGGGCAGCGGUGGGGAAUAGUGCACAGUGGGCGGAAGCCUGAUGCAGCGGCGCCGGGGGGGUGAUGAAGGCCUUCGGGUUGUAAACUCCUUUCGACAGGGACGCGGUACCUGUAUAAGAAGCACCGGCUAACUACGUGCCAGCAGCCGCGGUAAUAC
rnacentral:rRNA from 1 species